rnacentral:misc_RNA from 1 species
GAUGAAGAACGCAGCGAAAUGCGAUAAGUAGUGUGAAUUGCAGAAUUCAGUGAAUCAUCGAAUCUUUGAACGCACAUUGCGCCCUUUGGUAUUCCAAAGGGCAUGCCUGUUCGAGCGUCAUUUGUACCCUCAAGCUUUGCUUGGUGUUGGGACUCGCGUUAAUUCGCGUUCCCCAAAUUGAUUGGCGGUCACGUCGAGCUUCCAUAGCGUAGUAGUAAAACCCUCGUUACUGGUAAUCGUCGCGGCCACGCCGUUAAACCCCAACUUCUGAAUGUUGACCUCGGAUCAGGUAGGAAUACCCGCUGAACUUAAGCAUAUCAAUAAGCGGAGGA